rnacentral:rRNA from 1 species
AGUGAACGCUGGCGGUAGGCCUAACACAUGCAAGUCGAACGGCAGCACAGUAAGAGCUUGCUCUUACGGGUGGCGAGUGGCGGACGGGUGAGGAAUACAUCGGAAUCUACUUUUUCGUGGGGGAUAACGUAGGGAAACUUACGCUAAUACCGCAUACGACCUACGGGUGAAAGCAGGGGAUCUUCGGACCUUGCGCGAUUGAAUGAGCCGAUGUCGGAUUAGCUAGUUGGCGGGGUAAAGGCCCACCAAGGCGACGAUCCGUAGCUGGCCUGAGAGGAUGAUCAGCCACACUGGAACUGAGACACGGUCCAGACUCCUACGGGAGGCAGCAGUGGGGAAUAUUGGACAAUGGGCGCAAGCCUGAUCCAGCCAUACCGCGUGAGUGAAGAAGGCCUUCGGGUUGUAAAGCCCUUUUGUUGGGAAAGAAAAGCAGCAGGUUAAUACCCCGCUGUUCUGACGGUACCCAAAGAAUAAGCACCGGCUAACUUCGUG